AUUUUAGCGAUGAAUGCCUCGGCUCGGGUUACGAUGAAGGACGCAGCGAAUUGCGAUAAUCAAUGCGAAUUGCAGAAUUCCGUGAA
rnacentral:rRNA from 1 species